rnacentral:rRNA from 1 species
UAGGGAAUCUUCCACAAUGGACGCAAGUCUGAUGGAGCAACGCCGCGUGAGUGAAGAAGGUUUUCGGACCGUAAAGCUCUGUUGUUGGUGGAGAAGGAUAGAGGUAGUAACUGGCCUUUAUUUGACGGUAAUCAACCAGAAAGUCACAGCUAACUACGUGCCAGCAGCCGCGGUAAUACGUAGGUGGCAAGCGUUGUCCGGAUUUAUUGGGCGUAAAGCGAGCGCAGGCGGAAGAAUAAGUCUGAUGUGAAAGCCCUCGGCUUAACCGAGGAAUUGCAUCGGAAACUGUUUUCUUGAGUGCAGAAGAGGAGAGUAGAACUCCAUGUGUAGCGGUGGAAUGCGUAGAUAUAUGGAAGAAUACCAGUGGCGAAGGCGGCUCUCUGGUCUGCAACUGACGCUGAGGCUCGAAAGCAUGGGUAGCGAACAGGAUUAGAUACCCUGGUAGUCCAUGCCGUAAACGAUGAGUGCUAAGUGUUGGGAGGCUUCCGCCUCUCAGUGCUGCAGCUAACGCAUUAAGCACUCCGCCUGGGGGAGUACGACCGCAAGGUUGAAAC